rnacentral:rRNA from 1 species
UACGUAGGGUGCAAGCGUUGUCCGGAAUUAUUGGGCGUAAAGAGCUCGUAGGCGGUUUGUCGCGUCGGCCGUGAAAUCUCCACGCUUAACGUGGAGCGUGCGGUCGAUACGGGCAGACUUGAGUUCGGUAGGGGAGACUGGAAUUCCCGGUGUAGCGGUGAAAUGCGCAGAUAUCAGGAGGAACACCGGUGGCGAAGGCGGGGUCUCUGGGCCGAUACUGACGCUGAGGAGCGAAAGCGUGGGGAGCGAACAGG